GCAAGUAUCUUCUCUCCCCGACAGAUUUUAAUCAUUAAUUGCUGCUGAAGAUGUAAGUGGAAGUAGCUCUGAUUCCCACGCACCGGAAAAUUAUACCACAAACGCGUAGACUUGUUACUCUACUUGUGAGUUGUGACAAGUGGGAGAAAACAAAGUAAGAAGUUCGAAACUGUACCAAGUGAAUAACAUGUUACAAGAAAUAGUAGGGCCAGCACAAGAGUAAUCUCAUAAGUCGACUGCAGGCGCCAUCCAAAAUAGGAAGAGCUCUGGGGUGGUAUCUCUCUUCGAAAGUACCAUAGUUUUCCAGGAUCAACACUCAAUAUCCUGGUUCAACAUAAGACUGCGACUGCCAUAGUCUUCAUCCAGUGUCUGCAAUGUCAGAAAACAAGUCAACGCUUAGAAAAUUAUGGAUAAUGAUUCAUGAUUCAUUACUACACGAUAGAGUCUCAGCUUCCUACACAGUAUCCCCUUUACUUUUUACUUAUCAAUCACAGGACAGAGAGAGAGAGAGAGAGAGAGAGAGAGAGGAACGAAGUGAGCAGAAGUUAAGCCGAACGUUGACCAAAGGCUAUUUCAAGAUCUAACAUGCGCAUGACAAAAAUACUACCCCAGAUUCAGAAGGACAAAACUUAUUAUUACUACCAGUGAAAACACACUGUCUUACAUGUGCAGUAGGACAGUAUAUAAGUUUCAUGAGAAACUACAGCGAAUUCAAAGUGAAACAGUAACAUAAUUGAGCAUUAUACAGUUGACUGCUACAGACCAUGCAACCACAACCAAAUACCACUUCUCAUAUGAAUUCCCUUCUCAGCGGUUUGGUGAUUCACAUACAACUAAAAGACAUAAUGCAGAUGCAAACAAGCUUGAGUGCAAGGAGCCCAUUGAGAACUUACUGACUACUGUCAAUGGAUCAUUGGUUCAAGAACACUCUAUGUAUCGGUCGAAGUAUUAAAGCAUAAUUUGGAAUAGCAGCAAUCACAAAUAAAGAGUUUCAUUAUCAGUCAUGGCACCGCUUAGAAGAUGACUGGUCGUCUCUAAAUGAGAGCAUCAUACAUCUCAAUGAGAUAUGCAGGCUACAAAGGUACAAUAAACGCCAGCCAAAACAUGGGGAAAUGUAUGUGCCCACAUGUUACAAGAGGGAACAGUUCGACAAGGUUGAAUGCUUCUAAUGAUGUAUGUGGGUUUCUGCAUGAUGCAAGAAGACAAGCUCCUCUUGGGAGGUCUGGGAUAAAAUAAAAAUAUCAGCCUGAAAGCUUGAUGAACAAGUGAAAGAAACAAAGAGCCUACAAUCUGUAAUUUUUUGGCAGUAUGAAUUCUAUCAAUUUUAUAUUAAUGAGUUAUGACCUACCUUCCCAUGCAAUCAUUCUGUUACGACACAUCUUUACUGUAAUGUUGCUGCCUCUGAACACCACCUCCUGAAUAUCAAAUAUUUGUGCUACAAGCAAUUAGUGAAUACAUAAAACACAAACUUACAUAUAGUAGAAGAACCUGAGCGGAAUUCACACUGACUCACAGGAGAGGAGAAAUGAGAUUGUAAACCAUCAGUGUAAUGCAACCAGCUUACCGUGUAAAAUACUAAAAUGUAUGAUUCAUG
rnacentral:lncRNA from 1 species